UACGUAGGGUGCAAGCGUUGUCCGGAAUUAUUGGGCGUAAAGAGCUCGUAGGCGGUCUGUUGCGUCCGCUGUGAAAACUCGGGGCUUAACCCCGAGCCUGCAGUGGAUACGGGCAGACUAGAGGUAGGUAGGGGAGAAUGGAAUUCCCGGUGUAGCGGUGAAAUGCGCAGAUAUCGGGAGGAACACCGGUGGCGAAGGCGGUUCUCUGGGCCUUACCUGACGCUGAGGAGCGAAAGCGUGGGGAGCGAACAGGG
rnacentral:rRNA from 1 species